rnacentral:rRNA from 1 species
UAGGGAAUCUUCGGCAAUGGGGGGAACCCUGACCGAGCAACGCCGCGUGAGUGAAGAAGGUUCUCGGAUCGUAAAGCUCUGUUGUUAAGGAAGAACGAGUGUGAGAAUGGAAAGUUCAUACUGUGACGGUACUUAACCAGAAAGGGACGGCUAACUACGUGCCAGCAGCCGCGGUAAUACGUAGGUACCGAGCGUUGUCCGGAUUUAUUGGGCGUAAAGCGAGCGCAGGCGGUUAGAUAAGUCUGAAGUUAAAGGCAGUGGCUCAACCAUUGUAGGCUUUGGAAACUGUUUAACUUGAGUGCAGAAGGGGAGAGUGGAAUUCCAUGUGUAGCGGUGAAAUGCGUAGAUAUAUGGAGGAACACCGGUGGCGAAAGCGGCUCUCUGGUCUGUAUCUGACGCGGAGGCUCGAAAGCGUGGGGAGCGAACAGG